rnacentral:pre_miRNA from 1 species
AUCACCUGGAACUCUUGUUAAAAUACAGAUCCUGAUGCAGGAGGUCUGAGGCUGAGCCUGAGAUUCUGCAUCUCUAGCAAGAUUUCAGGUGAUGCUGA